GGUCGUACAGCACUUUAAGCAGUGAAGAAGACCAUCUGGUUAAUACCCAUAUGCGAUGACAUUAGCUGCAGAAUAAGCACCGGCUAACUCUGUGCCAGCAGCCGCGGUAAUACAGAGGGUGCAAGCGUUAAUCGGAAUUACUGGGCGUAAAGCGAGCGUAGGUGGCUCGAUACAGUCAGAUGUGAAAUCCCCGGGCUUAACCUGGGAACUGCAUCUGCUACUGUCAGGCUAGAAUAGGUGAGAGGAAGGUAGAAUUCCAGGUGUAGCGGUGAAAUGCGUAGAGAUCUGGAGGAAUACCGAUGGCGAAGGCAGCCUUCUGGCAUCAUAUUGACACUGAGGUUCGAAAGCGUGGGUAGCAAACAGGAUUAGAUACCCUGGUAGUCCACGCCGUAAACGAUGUCUACUAGUCGUUGGGUCCCUUGAGGACUUAGUGACGCAGCUAACGCAAUAAGUAGACCGCCUGGGGAGUACGGCCGCAAGGUUAAAACUCAAAUGAAUUGACGGGGGCCCGCACAAGCGGUGGAGCAUGUGGUUUAAUUCGAUGCAACGCGAAGAACCUUACCUGGUCUUGACAUAUCUAGAAUCCUGCAGAGAUGCGGGAGUGCCUUCGGGAAUUAGAAUACAGGUGCUGCAUGGCUGUCGUCAGCUCGUGUCGUGAGAAUUGUUGGGUUAAGUCCCCCAACGAGCGCAACCCUUGUCCUUAGUUACCAGCGGGUUAAGCCGGGAACUCUAAGGAUACUGCCAGGCCCCAAACUGGAGGAAGGCGGGGACGACGUCAAGUCAUCAUGGCCCUUACGACCAGGGCUACACACCGUGCUACAAUGGUAGGUACAGAGGGCAGCUACACAGCGAUGUGAUGCGAAUCUUUCAAAGCCUAUCGUAGUCCAGAUUGGAGUCUGCAACUCGACUCCAUGAAGUAGGAAUCGCUAGUAAUCGCGGAUCAGAACCCCGCGGUGAAUACGUUCCCGGGCCUUGUACACACCGCCC
rnacentral:rRNA from 1 species